rnacentral:lncRNA from 1 species
GUGAUCCUAUGCUCCAGCGAGCUGAAGUAUCCAAACCUAUCAAAUAGGACAAGCUAUCCUUGAAUUGGGAAGGUCUAUAUCGGAUUUCAAAGGUUGUUCGACUAGGGGCCUAUAGGAUAGAAGAACUCGAUGGCAAGAUCAUUCUGCGAAUAUGGAACAUCGAGAACCUAAGGAUGUAUUAUUAGUAAGCUUCCAAGCUUGUAUUAUUGCAAAAUCAAUAGAAUAUAUGUUGUUAUUCUUAAUUCUCUUUCAGGAAAACAUUCCAAGUAUUUAAAAUCAGAUCAAAUUUGAUCUAGAGACAUCAUGGUC